rnacentral:lncRNA from 1 species
UUGAGGUAAGCUACUAAACCCUAGCUUCUAGAACUUAGGGUUUUUGGGUUUUAUGCCUUGGAAUGGGUCAAAUGGACCCUAAGCAAGCUUCUAAAUAGAUCAAUCCCAAGAAUCUAGGGAUUUAUGGGGUGAUUUGCUAUAGGUGCAAAUCUAGGGUUCCAAAAUGGGGUUUUUGUAAAAGUAUGAGAUUGAUCUCAUUUGAAGCCUUGGAAACCCUAUUGAUAGGUCCCAAAACGCGGGGGCGAAGUCGAUUUUGGCAUUCGGCGAACCGACGUGAAGUUCUCGGCAAAAUUGGGCCGGGCUAGCAUUGAUUCGGGCGAGGAAGGCUAAAGCCUUUUUGCGAAGCUCGCCGAGAAGAAUUUCCAAAGCCUCUACAUUGAUAAAAAGGUGGGGGGUGUCAUCCGAAACUUUCGAACUCCUUUCUAUGUCUUAGAUUGCAUUUAAUCUCAUCUCUUACAUGUUGCAUUGUAGGAUUGCAUAGUAGCUCUAUCCUUAUGCUUUCUAAAUGAUAACCUAGUGUACUUGGAACGCUUGGUAACUAGAUAGGUGAGGAUUGGGUCGGAACGUGGAUCCUAUGAUGCUAAAGAUAGAGAUGAACCCGAUGGGGGUAUUGAUGACAUAGAAAGUAGUGUUAUUGUCAAAGAACAAACGAGUGACAUCCAAACAUUGAAUGAUAACGAGUGGCAUUAAUGUAGUGUAAAGAACACUAGAGGUCGAUGGACCUAGGGAUAGGUGGAUCCCUUAGAAAAUGCCUUGUGAACAAUGAAUUUAGAAAACUAAAUAACAUUGCAUGAAUGUCGGAAAUCGAUGAUUCCGCGACAGUCGUUGACUCUAGCAGUAGAGCCUCCUCACUUGGAGAGGAUUGGAUUGGGUUAUUGACCCUAGUUGUAGAGUGUCCUCGCUUGGAGAGGAUAGAUCUAGCUCACAGUCUGCGUAUGGGGUGGUAUAGCCAUCCAAUCCCCACAUGGAGGGGAUUGUCGUCGAGUACUCCGGAGUGUCGCGCGACUAGGACCACUUGGAGGUCCGGACCACAUGGAGGUCCGCAGACGGUCCCGGGCUUGGGUGCACUUGGAGCUCCCUCCCCACUUUGGGAUUUGAAGGUGAGUCAUGGGCGAGCCCUAGGGCCUCACCACAGAUUGGGUAAAUGAAAAAGGUUAAAGGUUUAUAAAUGUCAUUGAGCAUUACUAUUCGAACAUGGAUCGAAUUUGUUAGCAUGGUAGCAAACCUUUAUUAUAUGAUGCAUGCAUUCAUAUUCAUGAUUAUGGGCAUAGUAGCAUAGUUUUCCUA